rnacentral:lncRNA from 1 species
AGGCGGCACUGCCAGGUACCCAGAAAGGAGGAAGCAGAGAGCCCAGGGGAUGACUCGACCCAGGCACACGGCUGAUGGAUUGAUGAACGGCAGAGCUGGCCUCAGACCACAGGCAACUCUGGGAGGAAGAAAUUAGGACGCAGAUACCCAGAGGGGAGACAUGAGGACAGAGGGAAAAGCCGGCCAUCCGCAUGCCAGGCAGAGAGGCCUCGGGAGAAGCCGCCCCUGCUGGCACCUCCACCUCGGACUUCUAGCCUCCAGAAUUGUGAGAACAUCAGUUUAUUUUGUUUACCCGCCCCCCCCCCGCCCCCACCAAAUCUGUAGAACUUUGUUACAGCAGCCCUCGGGAACAAAUACACCCCCAAUAUAUGAACGUGCAUUUGGAGUCGUGAGUGCAGCAGCCCCCUAGGAGCU